AUGUUGUCUGAGCAGAAGAGGUCGAUAUGGAAGGAGAAGCAGAAUGGGGCCUGUGCAAUUAUCUAAAUUUCUUCACCUUUUGGUGGUGGGGAUUAAUUCUUGAUGACCUUAGUGUCAUGUCUGCUGCUGCUACCCAGUACGAAAUUAUUACUUGGAACCUGCGCCUACGGGUAUGGAUGGAGUGACAGAAGAGACGUGGCGUGCGCACGUCAAACAACAUAGGUGGCAAAGAUGCGACAAGCUGCUGCUGGUGGAGACAGAAAUUGUAGGCCGCCGACACUGAGGAAGAAGGGGUAAGCAGAGAGAAGUAUGCANN
rnacentral:lncRNA from 1 species